rnacentral:lncRNA from 1 species
CUAGCAACCCUAACUCUUCUUCUUCACCUUGAUACAUAGAGUAUAAGACUACAAGAACUUACACAACAAAAAAAACCCUAGAGGACAACUAGAACUCCCAUGGCUGCUAUAUCUUCCUCAACCUUAGGACCAGAAGCAUAACCCUAGCAACCACACACCACCGUGAAGAACGUAGCAGCCACCACCCGUUUCCACCAAGAGCUGCCGGAAAAAACUUCUACAAACCAGCCUCCAGCCAUCGUCUCCUCCAAUGUAAUCUCCACAACCAGAAUCAGUGGCGGCUCCCUUCCCUUCUCCAUCUCCAGCGUCAAACAUACCCCUGAGCGCAAUCGAUCACCCCCUUCCACCACCGUUCCUUCGUUGUCAACCAGCAGCAGCCGCAAGCUGCAAAAGUAAAACAAAAAAAACUUAAGAGGGGUUUCUGUUAGUGUUCAUUAUAAGUUUAGUGUUAUUGUCUUUCCACUUUAAGUCAUAAAAAUACCAAAACCUACACAAACAAAUUGAUGUUCAUAUUUUUUUUCAAUUUUGGAUUUGGAUUCAGAAAGAAAUGGAAUUUAAUUGAGGUUUGGAGCUCGAUUCGAGGUAUUUGUGGUCGUUGGAUUUUUGUUCGUAGCUCCUGUUGCGGCCGAUGAUUUCAAAGCCAAUUUCUACAUGUUUCUGCGGUGUAACUCUUUGGAAGGUUGCAAUUCGAGAGUACUAAAGAAAAAUUAUUCUUCUGUGAAGGUCAAAUUUUUCAUGCUCUUUUAGCUCAUUUCUUAUUGGUUUUGGUGAAUGCAUUAGAUUAAUCUACUUUUGUGUUAGCAUAUUUUAGAUCUCAUUUAGUAUCUUAAUUUUUGCUUCUCCUUGGUUCGUGCUUGCUUAGUGAAUUAAAUUUAGACUACCACAUUAGAUAGUUAGUGAACAUGAUGCUUAGUUUGAUUGGUCUAGAGUUAUGAGAACAUAAUAUCUCACCAAGUAUUUAAAGGUGAAGGAAAUAAUCUGAAAGCUAUAGGGAAACUUGUGCUCAAAAAGACAUAUUCUCCAUGAACCUUAUAUUUUAAAUGUCAUAUUUUUAGAAAUAGAAUUUAAUCUCAUAGAUUUUCUUUGGUUCAUAAUGGCAGUAGUUUUUUUUAGAUUAUUAGAACUAUAGUAGUUAUUGCGAUAGUUUGAAAACCAUUUUAGUCCUUGCAUUCUUAUCGUUGGUUCUUCACCUUUUCCAUCUUUGUCUUUUCCGUAAUUUUGUAGUAUUUCAAGUCAAUGUUCUCCUUUAGGUGUUAUAUUUUCCAUCACUGUGUUUAAAUAGUUUGAACUCGCAUGUUCAGAGAAUGAAGGUUGCGGAGAUGAGGAUGCUUAGGUGGAUGUGUGGGC